GUACUGAAAUGCAUGGUGGGAAAUCAGUGUGGAAUUCACUGGCUGUACCUGCAACCGUAAAGUCGGAGCGCCACCCAGUAU
ncrna:unclassified sequences AdoCbl variant RNA